rnacentral:rRNA from 3 species
GAGAUUCCCCCAGUAGCGGCGAGCGAACGGGGAGGAGCCCAGAGCCUGAAUCAGCAUGUGUGUUAGUGGAAGCGUCUGGAAAGGCGCGCGAUACAGGGUGACAGCCCCGUACACAAAAGCGCAUGUGCUGUGAGCUCGAUGAGUAGGGCGGGACACGUGGUAUCCUGUCUGAAUAUGGGGGGACCAUCCUCCAAGGCUAAAUACUCCUGACUGACCGAUAGUGAACCAGUACCGUGAGGGAAAGGCGAAAAGAAC